GAAACUCAAUUUCUCAUGAAGAUACAGAACAAAGCUGGACUUGUCAGCGUAGAAACACGUGUAUCAAUGGUGGAUUAUACAAUACAUAGGGGUUGGCCACUUCUAAAUGCAUUACUCAAUUUACGCAUCAUGAAUUGAUAGACUUUCUAUAUCUCUAUGUUUUAACUUUUCCUAUACGUCAGUUUUGACUAAGCUGGAGAACAAGGCUUAUAUGUGGUAAUAAUAAUCCACUAAAGGCAGCUAAUCUAGUGUAACUUGCAUCCAAGUGUUUGUUUGUCUCCAAACAUACAUCAAUUGCCUAAGGAUCGUUUCUUUCUUUCAAGA
rnacentral:misc_RNA from 1 species